CCAAAUGAUAGGAAUGCUUAGUGGCGGACUGGUGAGUAACGCGUGAGGAACCUGCCUUUCAGUGGGGGACAACAGUUGGAAACGACUGCUAAUACCGCAUAAUGUUUCUGGACCGCAUGAUCUGGAAACCAAAGCUUUAUGUGCUGAAAGAUGGCCUCGCGUCUGAUUAGCUGGUUGGCAGGGUAACGGCCUACCAAGGCGAUGAUCAGUAGCCGACCUGAGAGGGUGACCGGCCACAUUGGGACUGAGACACGGCCCAAACUCC
rnacentral:rRNA from 1 species